AGAGUUUGAUCCUGGCUCAGGACGAACGCUGGCGGCGUGCUUAACACAUGCAAGUCGAACGAUGAACCCGCUUCGGUGGGGGAUUAGUGGCGAACGGGUGAGUAACACGUGGGCAAUCUGCCCUGCACUCUGGGACAAGCCCUGGAAACGGGGUCUAAUACCGGAUAUGACACGGGAUCGCAUGGUCUCCGUGUGGAAAGCUCCGGCGGUGCAGGAUGAGCCCGCGGCCUAUCAGCUUGUUGGUGGGGUGAUGGCCUACCAAGGCGACGACGGGUAGCCGGCCUGAGAGGGCGACCGGCCACACUGGGACUGAGACACGGCCCAGACUCCUACGGGAGGCAGCAGUGGGGAAUAUUGCACAAUGGGCGCAAGCCUGAUGCAGCGACGCCGCGUGAGGGAUGACGGCCUUCGGGUUGUAAACCUCUUUCAGCAGGGAAGAAGCGCAAGUGACGGUACCUGCAGAAGAAGCACCGGCUAACUACGUGCCAGCAGCCGCGGUAAUUC
rnacentral:rRNA from 1 species